rnacentral:lncRNA from 1 species
CUAACCRCUUCUGUUCCUGGGGACCUUUGCACGAUACAGCUGUUUUGAGAAGGUUUCUACGGAGCACAGUCAUUUAUUAGAGUCAGCACUUGCAGAGUGACCCCAUACAAAACAAUUAGCUGGAUCAGUGGAGCUUGUCCCAGGAGCUGUCCAGGGAAUCCCAGAACUGUUCGUGGCUGACUCCAGGUUUCCAGGCCUCUGAUUCACCCAAAGGGGCUUCCUUGCCUCCAUCACGGCAGGAUGCAGAGGUGCCCGUGCUGACUCUGAGCGAGGAGGUUUGCAGUCCAGAAGCAGCAGGGCUGUUUUAAAUGAGGCUCUGCCCAGGGUAAUCAGCCCAUCUUGACAAACACAAGAUGUUAUUCCUUGCUACAGGGCCUUCUACCCAAGCAGAAAGAAACCUGCAGUGCUGAGUCCUCUCCCAUGGGCUCGCUUUGGCUGUUACUGGCCCAGAUGAUGUUUGUUGGCUGGUAUCACUCCCUGUGCUGCUGCUGCCUCGUGCUCUCCAAGAGGAACAAGCUGCGCAUGAUGGCUUUGGAGCGGCCUCCGGAGAGCGUAAUAGUGAACGACAGCCCCAGUUGUGCCUUGGGCAACGCCGCAUCCCCGGACGGCGCCUGCGGGUCCCUCCGCUGCCGGUCCACAGCCUCCGCGGGGGCCUCACGGAUUUUCCCUGCUGGUUCCCGGUUCAGGUGCGCACGUCCCAGCUGCAGCAACCCUCCUCCUCCUCCUCCUUCUCCUCCUCCUCCUCCUCCUCCUCCUCCUCCUCCUGCUCCUGCCCGGCGCACGGUUUCCCGGCGCACGUGGCCGGGAGGGGAGCCGGCGCGCGGAGCAGCGGUGCAGCUGCGAACGGCCGCGCUGCCAAGCGGGACCGGCUUCGCGCGGGGAAUAAUUGCUAGGUGCUUU